rnacentral:lncRNA from 1 species
CUCCCUGGAGAACCCAGUGUAUGACCCGGGAUGCUGGAGAGGCCAUGACAUCCUGUGGAAAGCUUCACCCAAGCUCAAAGGGAUGGACGGAUAUUUUCCGGACCCAAGGCUUACCUGCACAGCCACAAGUCAUUAUGGGCUCUGGCUUGGUUGGACAACGCGGCGACUCUGGACAGGCGGUGCUAGCAGAUGUAGAAGAACGGUAGGAUUGGAUGGGCACCGACAUGGAUUCAGAGGGACCCGUUGAAAGACCAUGUUUUGAUCAUCCGGUCUUCAAACACCCUGAAGUGCGAGGACAUACUCAGAGGCGAUCAAAUCUUGUGGGGAAC